CCUACGGGUGGCAGCAGUGGGGAAUAUUGCACAAUGGGGGAAACCCUGAUGCAGCGACGCCGCGUGAAGGAAGAAGUAUUUCGGUAUGUAAACCUCUAUCAGCAGGGAAGAAAAUGACGGUACCUGACUAAGAAGCCCCGGCUAACUACGUGCCAGCAGCCGCGGUAAUACGGAGGGGGCAAGCGUUAUCCGGAUUUACUGGGUGUAAAGGGAGCGUAGGCGGGUAUGCAAGUCAGAAGUGAAAGCCCCGGGCUCAACUCCGGGACUGCUUGUGAAACUGUAUGGCUAGAGUGCAGGAGAGGCAAGUGGAAUUCCGAGUGUAGCGGUGAAAUGCGUAGAUAUUAGGAGGAACACCAGUGGCGAAGGCGGCUUGCUGGACUGUAAAUGACGCUGAGGCUCGAAAGCGUGGGGAGCAAACAGGAUUAGAUACCCCGGUAGUC
rnacentral:rRNA from 1 species